rnacentral:rRNA from 1 species
GACGAACGCUGGCGGUGUGCUUCACACAUGCAAGUCGAACGAGGUAGCAAUACCUAGUGGCGGACGGGUGAGUAACGCGUGGGAAUCUGCCUUUAGAUGGGGGAUAACGGGUCGAAAGACUCGCUAAUACCGCAUAUGACGAAAGUUGAAAGGAGUAAUCCGUCUAAAGAUGAGCCCGCGUCCGAUUAGCUAGUUGGUAGAAUAAAAGCCUACCAAGGCGACGAUCGGUAGCCUGGUCUGAGAGGAUGAUCAGCCAACAAUGGGACUGAGACACGGCCCAUACUCCUACGGGAGGCAGCAGUGGGAAUUUUACGCAAUGGGCGAAAGCCUGACGUAGCGACACCGCGUGAGCGAAGAAGCCCCUUGGGGCGUAAAGCUCUGUCAGCUGGAACGAAAAAAAUGACGGUACCAGCAGAGGAAGCAUCGGCUAACUACGUGCCAGCAGCCGCGGUAAUGUCUGUACU